rnacentral:lncRNA from 1 species
AUACCCCGAUAUCUGGGUGAGGACCCCAGUGCCUUCAGUGGGACCCCAACAUCUGGAUAGGGACCCCAGUGUCCUCAUGGGGACCCCAACAUCUGGAUGAGGACCCCAACAUCUGGGCGAUGACCCCAAUAUCUGGGCGAGGACCCCAGUGCUUUCAUGGGACCCCCAACGCGUGGAUGGGGACCCCAACAUGGGUAUGGAGACCCCGAAAUCCGGGUGAGGACCCCAAAGCCUUCAGUGGGAUCCCAAUGUCCAGGUGGGGACCCCAACAUCUGGGGGGACCCCAACAUCUGGACUGGGACCUUAGUGUCCAGGUGGGGACCCCAACAUCUGGGUGGGGGGGACCCCAACAUCUGGACCGGGGCCUUAGUGUCCAGGUGGGGACCCCAACAUCUGGGUGGGGGGGACCCCAACAUCUGGACCGGGACCUCAAUGUCCAGGUGGGGACCCCAACAUCUGGGGGAGGGGGACCCCAACAUCUGGAUGGGGACCCUGAUGUCCGGGCCGUGCCUUCUGUUCCCAAGUGCCCUCAAUAAAGUGUGGUGCCGCGGUGAUAUCGGUGUCCGAGGGGGGGGGCGGGGGUGGGACACGUGCAAACACACGCAUGUGCACAAGAGCUCACG